GAAAUGGUUUUCGUAUAAUUAAUUUUGAUUUGAAAAAUCAAUUUUCGUUAAAAUUUAUAGAGCUUUCAGCUGAAUUUAGAUAGAAAAUGAUUUUUCUGAAAUAAUAUUGUAAAUUUGUUAAUCAAAAAAAUUUUCUUUCUUACAAAUAAUGAUUUUUACGACAAAAUUUCAUCUUAAAAUAAUUUAAAUUUUCAAUUUCAAUUUAAAAUCAGAAUAAAAUAUAAAAUUUAAUAUUUUGACUUAAAAUAUAAUAUUAAAAUAUAAAUUUAAAAAUUAAAAUAUAAUUUUAAUUUUAAAGUCUACAUUAAAAAUUAAUGAUUUAAAAUUUACGUCUAAAAAUUAAAUUUAAAAAUUUGAAAUUUGAAAUUUAAAAGUGAUAGAAAGUGAUUCAAUGUCACGCCCCGAAUUACCACGUUUUUCCGGGCAUACCAACAGACCCGCCGUAUACAUAGAAAUUUUUUCGUGUAAAUGAAGCGAUAGCUGUACCUGU
rnacentral:lncRNA from 1 species